GACGAACGCUGGCGGCGUGCCUAAUACAUGCAAGUCGAACGCUGAAGGAGGAGCUUGCUUCUCUGGAUGAGUUGCGAACGGGUGAGUAACGCGUAGGUAACCUGCCUGGUAGCGGGGGAUAACUAUUGGAAACGAUAGCUAAUACCGCAUAAUAGCAGUUGUUGCAUGACAACUGUUUGAAAGGUGCAAUUGCACCACUACCAGAUGGACCUGCGUUGUAUUAGCUAGUUGGUGGGGUAACGGCUCACCAAGGCGACGAUACAUAGCCGACCUGAGAGGGUGAUCGGCCACACUGGGACUGAGACACGGCCCAGACGCCUACGGGAGGCAGCAGUAGGGAAUCUUCGGCAAUGGACGGAAGUCUGACCGAGCAACGCCGCGUGAGUGAAGAAGGGUGUCGGAUCGUAAAGCUCGGUUGUAAGAGAAGAACGAGUGUGAGAGUGGAAAGUUCACACUGUGACGGUAGCUUAACAGAAAGGGACGGCUAACUACGUG
rnacentral:rRNA from 1 species